GUAGGUGAACCUGCGGAAGGAUCAUUACCGAGUCGGGGUCUUUGAGGCCCGAUCUCCAACCCCGUGUCUAUAUUACCAUGUUGCUUUGGCGGGCCCGCCCAUAGUGGGCCGCCGGAGGUCACCACACCUCUGACCAGCGCCCGUCAGUGGCCCCCUUCAAAUUCUUCUCAACCGUGUCGUCUGAGCUUGAACAUUUUAAAGUAAACAAAACUUUCAACAACGGAUCUCUUGGUUCUG
rnacentral:misc_RNA from 1 species